AAUUUAGUCAAUUUUGUGGUCAAUUUUGUGUUGUUUGGAAAAGUUGUGUGAUGUUCCGAAAAAUUUUGUUAUGUCCGGAAAAAUUUUUUUGACCUCUAAAAAGGUAUACUGACCGAAAUUUUUUUGGCGACGGGGGGGGGGGUACAUAACAGUGAAUUUUUCAUAAUUAUGAGGACAGAGCAGAUGAUGAUGAAAGACGCAAGUAUAAAACACCAUUCACAAGACUAGAUGUUAACAUAGUACAGUAUUUCUGGCAAUAAAACGCUCCAACUGACCAACUGACCAUUUCACACGAACUUUUAUCGCUGGAUAAUUUUGCGAGUUUUCAUCCAAUUCAAUCAUAUAUAUGCUCAAAAUCUUCGCGGUACGUUUCUCUUUACCACAAAAUUUGACCGAAUAAGUUUCAAAACAAUGCGACGGCAAAAAAUGCAAAAAUCUUGAUUUUCGUAAUAGAAUCUAUAGUCUUUUUGCCCUCUUGUACCGCCAUCUUGGAUUUGUCAUGUAGGCCCCGCCUGCGCCUAGGUAUGCGUUAGCAAUCUAGAUCUCCUAUAUCUAUGUGCUAUACUGUCUGCUUUGGGUAAACAACAUUGGAGGGGGAGGGGGAGUAGUGGCGUGCUGGAUCCUGUUCGUCAGGGGAGGCCAGCUGACCGCCGUUCCUUCCAAAUUU